CACGUAGAAGACUAGUGUUAUUCAUCUUUAGUUAGGUUUAAAAGGGUACCUAGACGGGAAACAAGCUAUAAUAGGGACUAAUUUUCUAGAGUUUUAUGUAAGAAGGGGCGAAUUUCCGGAGGAAAGUUCGAUAUUUUGUGAUACUGGAAGGACGGGUAACGGCGAAGGCAACCUUUUAUGUAAAAACUGACGUUGAGGGACGAAGCCUUGGGUAACGAGAAGG
rnacentral:rRNA from 1 species